AACGAACGCUGGCGGCAUGCCUAACACAUGCAAGUCGAACGAGACCUUCGGGUCUAGUGGCGCACGGGUGCGUAACGCGUGGGAACCUGCCCUUAGGUUCGGAAUAACUCCCCGAAAGGGGUGCUAAUACCGGAUAAUGUCUUCGGACCAAAGAUUAAUCGCCUUUGGAUGGGCCCGCGUUGGAUUAGCUAGUUGGUAGGGUAAAAGCCUACCAAGGCGACGAUCCAUAGCUGGUCUGAGAGGAUGAUCAGCCACACUGGGACUGAGACACGGCCCAGACUCCUACGGGAGGCAGCAGUGGGGAAUAUUGGACAAUGGGCGAAAGCCUGAUCCAGCAAUGCCGCGUGAGUGAUGAAGGCCUUAGGGUUGUAAAGCUCUUUUACCCGGGAUGAUAAUGACAGUACCGGGAGAAUAAGCUCCGGCUAACUCCGUG
rnacentral:rRNA from 1 species